rnacentral:tRNA from 1 species
AGCCACCACAGGAGGCGGUCGCGCCCCCACCGGCCCGUCGCGCCGGUCGUCGUCGCACCGGCCGCCGUUCCGGGGCCGUGGGCGGCUGC